GUGAGGAGUUGCAGCGUACGCCUAGACCGGCGGGGCAGGGUUUAUAGCUGCAUACACAGCACCCCUGCUUUUCUCUGCUUCUCUUCAUAGUCACCAGAUUCAUCUGUCAUAUCAUCAAUAAUAUAAUAAGAGUAGAGUUCUUGCCCGACCAGGCUCCUCUCCUUAACCUGCCUCUCUUAGUUAUGCUAUUAUAAUUCUAGACUGCCGGGGAAGUUCCUUCCUUCCUAUGACACACUGAGCUGCUCACUCAUCUCUCUUUUCAUUUGUUUCCUUUUUUGUACAUCUUUGUACCAGAAAUGCUUGUUCCUAACCUCGCUCUGGGGAGUUCACUCCCCGGACUCCUUAUGUUUCUUCUUCACCCAGAAUAUUGCCUUGGAUUAGGGUGGCACCAAGAUCUGGGUCUUGGGUGCAGCUGUCUCUAUGGACCUGCUACAACCUGCUACGCUUUGCGAUUCCCUGCAAUGUCCGGCUGCGUCCUGCCGCGUCCACUGCGUCCACCCAUCCUCUGCUGUGCCAUGCUACAUCCCGUAACGCCCUGCUGUGCCCGGCUAUGACAUGAACUACUAUGACUACCAUUGUAGUCACUGUUACAUUAUCUUUAUUAUGACUAUUAUUGCCACUGUUCAUCAACCCCCAACCGGCACCGUCAGACACCGCCUGACCCAUUGGCUUAUUUACAAGCCCAUCAAAGUUAACAAUAAUGACACCCCUAUAUUAUUUUAUUUUAUUUUGAGACAUUCGUUUUGUUUUCCAAGUUAUUAAAAUGUGGUCAAAAGUAGUUGUAAGAGAUAUCGGAGAAAAUAAUUGAAAAUGAUUUAACUUUCACUUAGCUUUGAUGGGCUUGUAAAUAAGCCAAUGGGUGAACUUGGGUCCGUGAGUUGACCAAUCAGCUAUCAACUAGGCUUGUUUGUUUACGUCCCUCACGUCCCUUUAGGUGCUGCAUUGGAACGUCGUAUAAAGCUGCUGUUAUUCCCUCGGUAAAAGAAAAAGUACUGCUAUGCCUUAUUGUGAAUAGAACAAAAGAGAGCUGUGUCUGAAUCCACUGUCAUCAAGGAGUUAAAGGCAGUGAAUUCCAUUAAAAUGGUGGAGGAGGUGGAGAUUUGAUCGAGACUCUGAACUCAGAUGGAUUGCCCUUGAUUCCUUCUUCAGGUGUGGGACAAACAGAAACCAAACUCAUAUGGGCCCCAACGUUGAACAUCUCUGAACUCUUGUCAUCAAAGAACAAUUGAGCUCAUAGAACUCAAAAGGGUUUCUUGUAUGUGCGCACUUUAUUUUUUAUUUUAGUUGUUAUUUUUCAUACCUGUUUUUAUCUGCAUACGUGUAUGCCAUAUUUCUGUGUAUAUUAAUACACUUCUCAAACUUUA